rnacentral:rRNA from 1 species
UAGGGAGGAUGCAAGCGUUAUCCGGAAUGAUUGGGCGUAAAGCGUCCGCAGGUGGCAAUGUAAGUCUGCUGUUAAAGAGUCUAGCUCAACUAGAUAAAGGCAGUGGAAACUACAUAGCUAGAGUACGUUCGGGGCAGAGGGAAUUCCUGGUGUAGCGGUGAAAUGCGUAGAGAUCAGGAAGAACACCAGUGGCGAAGGCGCUCUGCUAGGCCGUAACUGACACUGAGGGACGAAAGCUAGGGGAGCGAAUGGG